rnacentral:rRNA from 1 species
CGGACGGGUGAGUAACGCGUGGGUAACCGUGCCUUGUACUGGGGGACGAACAGUUGGAAACGACUGCUAAUACCGCAUAAGCGCACAGCUUCGCAUGAAGCAGUGCGAAAAACUCCGGUGGUACAAGAUGGACCCGCGUCUGAUUAGCUGGUUGGUGAGGUAACGGCCUACCAAGCCGACGAUCAGUAGCCGACCUGAGAGGGUGACCGGCCACAUUGGGACUGAGACACGGCCCAA